rnacentral:tRNA from 1 species
UCCCUAGUGGUCCAGUGGUUAGAACUCUGUGCUCUUAUUGACAAGGGUCCAGGUUCAAUCCCUGGUCAGGGAA